rnacentral:lncRNA from 1 species
UAUACAAGCAAGCAAAACGAGUUUUGACCUAGAAUUCAUACAAAUUAAACUCAUUUUCCCGCAUUUUCGUAUAGUAGAAGUUUUCAGAUUCGGACUACGACGUUAUACGAAAUUGACCGCCAAACAAAAUUAAAACGGCCAUGGUGGAUGUGUUUGGAAUGCAGUUUGUUAUGUGUAAGAAGUAGUAAUUUGAAAGGAUUAAUAUUUGAAUAUGGAGGAAUCGG